rnacentral:rRNA from 1 species
UACGGGGGGGAGCAAGUGUUGUUCGGAUUUACUGGGCGUAAAGGGCGCGUAGGCGGCGUAACAAGUCACUUGUGAAAUCUCCGGGCUUAACCCGGAGCGGCCAAGUGAUACUGUUGUGCUAGAGUGCGGAAGGGGCUACUGGAAUUCUCGGUGUAGCGGUGAAAUGCGUAGAUAUCGAGAGGAACACCUGCGGCGAAGGCGGGUAGCUGGCCGACACUGACGCUGAGGCGCGAAAGCCAGGGGAGCGAACGGG